rnacentral:rRNA from 1 species
UUAUCAGAUUCUACCACCUCUGUGAACUGUUGACCUCCGGGUCUAAUUCAAACAUCAGUGUAAUGAACGUAAAAUAUAUAACAAAAACAAAACUUUCAACAACGGAUCUCUUGGCUCUCGCAUCGAUGAAGAACGCAGCGAAAUGCGAUAAGUAAUGUGAAUUGCAGAAUUCAGUGAAUCAUCGAAUCUUUGAACGCACCUUGCGCCUUUUGGUAUUCCGAAAGGCAUGCCUGUUUGAGUGUCAUGAAAUCUCAAUCCCUCUGGUUCUUCUGGACUGGUUGGAUUGGACUUGGGUGAUUUGCCAGCAAUGGCUCGCCUCAAAUGACUUAGUGGAACAUCCCACAUCAGUGUUAGACGUAAUAAGUUUCGUCUCUCCUUGUGGUGAUGACUGCUCAGAACCUGCCAUCGCGCACUUUUGACAUUGACCUCAAAUCAGGUAGGGCUACCCGC